rnacentral:rRNA from 1 species
UACGUAGGGGGCGAGCGUUACCCGGAUUUACUGGGCGUAAAGCGCGUGUAGGCGGCUGGUCAAGCGUGGUGUGAAAUCUCCGGGCUCAACCCGGAAACUGCAUUGCGAACUGACCUAGCUGGAGUGCAGGAGAGGGCAGCGGAAUUCCCGGUGUAGCGGUGAAAUGCGUAGAUAUUGGGAAGAACACCGGUGGCGAAGGCGGCCAUCUGGACCGUAUCUGACGCUGAGGCGCGAAAGCGUGGGGAGCAAACAGG